GAUGAACGCUGGCGGCGUGCCUAAUACAUGCAAGUCGAACGAAACUUCUUUAUCACCGAGUGCUUGCACUCACCGAUAAAGAGUUGAGUGGCGAACGGGUGAGUAACACGUGGGCAACCUGCCCAAAAGAGGGGGAUAACACUUGGAAACAGGUGCUAAUACCGCAUAACCAUAGUUACCGCAUGGUAACUAUGUAAAAGGUGGCUAUACUACCGCUUUUGGAUGGGCCCGCGGCGCAUUAGCUAGUUGGUAGGGUAAAGGCUUACCAAGGCAAUGAUGCGUAGCCGAAUUGAGAGGUUGAUCGGCCACAUUGGGACUGAGACACGGCCCAAACUCCUACGGGAGGCAGCAGUAGGGAAUCUUCCACAAUGGGCGAAAGCCUGAUGGAGUAACGCCGCGUGGGUGAAGAAGGUCUUCGGAUCGUAAAACCCUGUUGUUAGAGAAGAAAGUGCGUGAGAGUAACUGUUCACGUUUCGACGGUAUCUAACCAGAAAGCCACGGCUAACUACGUG
rnacentral:rRNA from 1 species